ensembl:lncRNA
UGCUUAAAUGCUUUACUCAGAGCUGACAUGGUUCCUACAUUGAAGCAGUUAACAAUAAAUUAUAAGGACUAAUGGAUUAGAUCAAGAUGCAUGGAAACACUAUAUUUAUUCUUAAGAAUGAUAUUUCACCCCCCAAAAAUACCCUAAAACUCUGAGGGUUUGGAGAAAAGAUAUAUUCCAGAUAAGUACUAUGCUGCUUAUAUUGGCCAAAAUGCAACAGCACUAAAGCAACAAGCUGUGCUUAAACACAAAGGAAGAGGCAUGCAAAUCUGUGUCACUUUGGGUUUGUAUGUGAUUCAAGGAAAACCACCAUCUACAGGUUGCCUGAGGAUCCUUUUCUAAGACGGAUGCUUGUGUUGAAGGUGGACGGCUCAGGCCCAGGCCUGAACUUGUACAGGACUGGGGAUGUUUGGGUGGAGAAAGUUUCUCUUUCUGCUUGCUGCAGAAGUAAGGUUCAUUGCCGAGCUUCUGUCCACUGUGUAAACUGUACCAGAGUUCAUCAUGUAAGAAUGAAUAAGCUUGAGUUUGGGCCUUUUCUUGGAUAAUCAAAGUGGACCAGGCUGUAAGGAUAGGCUGCUGAGGAAUGCAGAUUGGCAAACUGGCAGAUUGCUCUGAUAAAUUCUCUUAUUUUUUCCUUUUGGAUAAGAUACAGGAAAGUUCUCAAGAAAUUUAUAUUCUGAUAAGAAUGCUGUCCACAGGCAAUACUUGCUAGUAAUCCUGGCCCAUAAAAAUGCUGAGAACAUCCAUGGAAAGUCAAAAAUGAACAGUAGAGUUUGUAGGUAGGUUAGCACUUGCAGAUAGUGGGUUUUUUUCAAGUAUUGCCAGUGGGACAUUCUUCAAGGUUCCCAAGAGAAGGACUGAAUGAUGCAGAUCAAAGCACAAUGCCAAAAGCAAUUUCAGUAAUGAUGUAAUUAAAUUUAACAAAGAAAAAAAGAAGGGAGAAGCCUUUCCACCUGCGCUUUUUCUGCCAGAGUUCUUCCCUUCUACUCCUAAGCCUCCUCUAACACUCACAAGAAAGGCCAAACUGAGGCUCAUUCCUAACUUACCUGAAGCACGUUGACUGCAAAAUAUUGUUAACAUCCAUGCCUGCAGUAGAUGUUUAGGGCUGCUUGGAACAGAAAAUAGUAGGAGCAGUUGGAAUGUAACUUCAGUCUAUAAUUCUCUGCAAAUGUCUGCAAGGGUGCAGUUUCCUCCAAGUGCUCUACGGUGUUUGGAAGCCAAGAGAAAUAACAUUUUUUUUUCUUGCAACCAAGUCACUUAUGUUUAAUUUAUACAGAAAUAGGUACGGUCUCCUUCAGCACCAGAGCGUUGGGGUGUUUUUAAUGAAUAACUUAUAAGAAACAGUCACCUGCUAACAGGUCAGCCUCCCUUUUGUGUUUCAUUCCAGUUUCAUUAGUAAAGAAAAAAGGCCUUUGAUUGGAUUAAUGGAAAUAAAACCGCAGGGACUAAAUUAUAAAGUAUCCAGUGGUUAUUUCUAGUAGCUCCUACUUGCAACCAUGUUUUCUAUCAUCUCAGGCACAAAGCUUUGGUGUAUAAAUACAUCUGUCUUAGACUGGAACAUGGAAGAGGUUUUGCUUUAGCAGAAAUAGCAUUUCAUCUUUUUCUCUGCAGUCAUUCAGCUGGGCAGACUCUGCUUUUAUGGGUAACACCCCUAUGGGAUUGCUGAGCUGCUGGGAAUGCUCUCAGUAGAAACUUUGCUGUGGACCCUCUUGAACCUGUUUGUUUUUUUCUCCUCCUCGUAUCCCUUCACCACCACCACCACUGCCCAGUUAUUUUUAUUUAUGUAUUUAUUUAAUGUCAUUGAAAUGGCAUUAUCUGGAGAUGGCUACAGGCAGGACGCAGAGCCAUAUGCUCAGCCUAACUUAUAUAAACAGUGUCCUGGAUGACAGCCUUUCCUAGCCCAUCUGCAGCUGCCAGGGAAUCCAUUAUUUUUCUGUCCCUGGGGAGAAAAAGUUCUUGAGCAUCAUUACUCCUAGGCAAAUGUAACUGACUCUACCAUGCACCCUAAUUUGCUUGCCAUAAUUAUAGGUCGCUCACCCCCUUUUGCAAUUUAUAAACCCUUUUUAUUUAUUUUUUGUACUUAUCAAUAAUGAAUGGAGGCUAGUGAAUCAUGGGGCUGUAAUAUCUGAAUAUUAUGAAAAUGCUAAUAACAAGGUAUCAUAGGCAGCAGCACCCAGGUCUUAUCAGCUGGUCAGAUGCUCUAUUAAGCAGCCAGUGAGGAGUUCAAGCAAAUUGGUUAUGUUAAUGUCCUGUAGUACUUAGGGAAGAUGAGGAGUUAGCAAUUAAUUUUUUUCUUCUUCUUCCCAGGCUGCAAAUCGACAGGGCAAAUUUAUAUUCCUCCUAUUCUAUGGGACCCCAGCUCAGAAGGGGGGCAAGGAGGAAAUGCAAGCGUCUAGCAAGAGCUUUCUGAGAUCUAAUUGAAUGAUGCAACUGCAGAGCUAGUGGGAGGCCAAGGGGGUGAGCGAGGAAUAAAUAAAUAAAUAUAUAAAUAAGCAAGCAAGCCCCACAACAAUGGGAAUGCCACACUCUUCCCCAUUCAUUCAGCUGACAGUGCUUUUGCAACUUAAACCUGUUUUAUUAAUUAUGUUUGACAUUUCCUUAAUUAGUUUCAUUUACAUCCCAUCAGCCCCUACCAGACGAUUGCCCCAUACAUCAUUUCACCAGAGGACUGAGAUGCCUACAGAAUUACAAAAACACCCUCCCCCCCAAACCUCAAUAACUCAUCACUGUACACUUCAUGGAUUUUUGAGAAUGAAUCCUUUCACCUGCUACGUUUCUUAAAAAAUACACAGAUAUUUUGUCAUCUUUUUAAAAGGAUUAUGACGUUUUCAAAGGCACACGAUGAUGGACUAAAUUUCUAUUUUCAUUCCAUGCACACAGUUUGCUUUGUUUUACAGUUCCCGUGUAUCUUGACAUUGACAAAGUAUGGACUUUACUGAAGAAUCCCUUUAUGUGGACCCUGUCCUAGCUCCACUGAGCACUGCUAUCCUGCCCCAGUGCCUUCCCCAGAUAGCUCUGCAUGCUCACAAUAGCUUCUUUUAAUUUAUAGGCACAUUCCUGUUGUCCCCAUAGUUGUUAUCCAGUUUUCCAUACAUUGAUUAAUUUCCACAGGAGACCUAUGACAGAUUCUUUUACAACUUUAGUAAAAGGAUAGGUUGGUUGUUUCAUACCAAUACCUCGACUUGCUCUCUCGCAUCUCUGACCUUCCUCUCCAUCCAACCAUUCCAUGAGCUGAAGAAUGCUGAUUUUAGGCUGCAACUCAUCCCUUAGCACAAGGAUGACCAGGUGAUUUGGAUCUGGAAGCUUCUCCGCUGCCAUCCUGUGGAUCUGCGUGAAGGCCCUUGUGCCCCAUUGAAGUAGCCAGCCCUAUAUCCCAAACUGAGAGCCACCAUGAAGACAGACAUGGUGGUGGCAGAUGCCUGGUCCCAGCCUGGCUUUUCUGUCCUGCACUCAGCAUGACAAGACUGACUGUUCCUAACAGGGGUACAGUGACAACCUGUUUGUGCUAAUCCCAGAACGUGCUACCAGGAGCUGUCAUUUCAGAGUCAUCACACUCUCUAUUGAUAUCAGUGAAGUUAAUCAUGCAGAAGGAAAAAGCUUGUAUGAAAGCAGAUAAUUAUUCCCCUGUUCUGUAAUAAUACAUACAAGGGAAAGUGAUUCUCGUUGUCUUGGCAAACUGUGACAUCUCAGCACAUUUUCUGCUUAGUACUGAUGUUCAGGCAUCCUUUCUCCUUUAUGAUUCCCAGGUCAGAGUUGGUGCACUGAGAACUACAUACAGAGAGAGAGGUUUCUUUCUUCUUGACUGCUGUCCUUCAGAUACAAUAACCUGAUCAACAACUGUUCUCAGGUUGGAUGUUAGGAAAAACUUCUCAGAAAGAGGAUGCAUUGGCACAGGCUGCCCAGGGAGGUGGUGGAGUCACCGUCCCUGGAGGUGUUCAAGAACUGCGGACAUGUGGCACUGAGAGACAUAGUCUAGAGCAGUCACAGGCAUGGGUUGAUGGUUGGACUAGAGGAUCUUAUUGGUCUUCCCAACCUUAAUGAUUCUGUGAUUCUAUGAUUCCUGUAAGAGCAGUCCAAAUCUCUGUAACAGAGCACAGAGUAGGGAUCUGUCAGCUCAAGCCUUCCCGAUACAACUACCAGAUGGACUUGCAAUCCCCAAUAAAAGAAAUAUUCAUGCAGCAUAUGGAAAUAUAUGAACUAGAAGAAAAACACUCAAAGAAAUAUUGAUGUGCUUACUUUCUCAGUGGGACUUAUUUGGUAGGGCAAAGUGAGCUUCAUCGUCUCUUAACCACAUUUCUCAGCCCUUUUGGCUCUGGGAUCAGGUUGUGCAAAGCCAGGCAGAUAUUUCUUCGCAUGCAACAAGAUCCAGAUGUUACAGAUGCUCCUGGUCCUCUGUCCUGCCCAACCCUCCUGUGGCUGAACCUAGCCCAGGUUAUAAGCAACUGUCUCCUCAACUUAAGUUUGCUCAGAAAUUUAAGUCUUUGUUUUAAUAAAAUUCUCCAAACAUUUGAUCCUUGAAGGAGAGGCAGAGGGGAGAAAAUGGAGGAAUAGGGCCCACAGUUUACCUUAGAGGUUAUUACAUCUGCGCUUUGGGAACUAGCAGACGUCAGGGCUGGAGUUCCACAGUUGGCCUAGACAUAGAGAAAAAUCUUGCAAUUUGUUCUGAAACCGGAGAGAUUUCAUCCUAUUUUGGAAUCCUUCCAGGUAAAAGCCAUGCCUGGGACCCUAUCCAGAUUUUCUGCAAAGCAAUGGCUGUUUCAUUUCCAGAUCAUUUCAAUCCUCAAGAUCAAAGGGAGCCUGAUUUUAAAAGCAGGAAUUAAGUACUGGCGAAGAAGAAGGCAGUUUUAACAGUGCUGUAAUCGUGCACACGGUUUGCAGAGAAGUUUAGUCAGAAAGUUUGGGGGGGGGGGGGGGGGUGGUUUUGUUUUGUUGUUUGCCUCUUGCUUCAUUCCUUUCCUUGUUCUCUCUUAUCUUUGAUCCGAGCAUUUCCCCAAGACACUGCGAGAACAAGGGUGUGAGACGAAUACGAAACAGAUUGCGGGGAAAAGGUUGAUAAGAGGCAUUCAGUAGUUGCUGGUGUUUUUCUUUUUUGAGAAUGCGUCUCAGAAGCAGUUCAGAGGAAAUCUGGAGAUAUGAAGACAGGGGAUGAAAUACAUAUCCCAGUGGGAUCACAAACAGCCCUGGGUGUUGUUCUGCAGGCUCUUGCUUCACACAGUGGUUCUUUUUGAGCUGGGUUGGCUGCUUUUUAAUAAUGUCCUCUUCGGUCGUUGAUGCUCUUUCAUGGCACGUUAACCUCAAAGGGUUUAGAUCAUUUCCCAGCUUUCCUGUUUGGAUUCCCCUACACGCACAUGAACACAACCCCCAAACCCUCUGGUUCAAUUAUGCAAGUAUAAAAACCUCCACUAAAACAGUUCGGUAGAUUUAGCAGAUGCUGCCAGGGCUUCAGAUAUAUCUGAAAUAGCAUCAAAUGGUCAAAAAAAAACCAAAACAAAAAACAAACCAAAAUCAAAAUAUUUUUCUGUCACAUGCUGUCAUACAUUGUCAGGGAACCUUGUGCUGUAGCUGCAGUGAAGUUGAAUCUGAUUAAAAGAUCAGCAAACAAGGCAGGUUGAGGGGAAUUUGAUCUCAUCAUUGCUAUGCCUGGAAAUACCUGUCAUUUUCUAGGUUGUCCUGCACUGUGACACUCCUUCUUAUCCAGUUUGCCAAUGGACAUUCAUGGUGACAUUCUGUGGAAGCAAAAUGGGGAAGAAACAAAAAAAAAAGACCUGAUCCAUUCCAGUUUUAUUUUCAAGUCCUCUGUUAUUAUUCCUCUGAGAUCAAGCCUAAACAUAAAUACUAAUUAUCAGAGCUACAGACAAAUGAAUAAUUUGAUGUAAAACAAUCCUGCUUUAUUCAAAUGAGAGUGGAGGUGAAAUUAGAGCUAUGCAGGAUAUUGUGUUAAAAAGCACACGCACAUACACACAAAGAAAGAAAGCAAAAUGUCUAAUUUUAACGUAGUGUUGUUAUCUGUGAUUAAUGAUUUCCGUGGGUGUAUAACUCUUAUGCAAAAAUGCCAUGUAAUCAUGUACAUAUUUGAUUAAAUAGCUUAAUUUGUGUUCAUUUAAAAAAAAAAAUAAAAUAAAGCCAAAUAAGCUAGAUAAUGAGUGGGCGUGUUGUAGGAAAAGCAGAUGGGAUUUGAGGCGCUAGCUGUGUUCAAAGGAAGCCACCAAUUUCACUUCAAGAAUAUUUGCGUAUGAAAGCUGAUAUUUUCUAGAAACAUUCAUGAGUUGAACACAGAGGGAUUUUUUAUUUUUUAUUUUUUUAUUUUUGCCAAAUUCUGCUGUUUUUAAUGAAGGCACAUAGGAAAAAAAAAAGUUCAGCUGAGACGGUUCAAUUCUUGGGAAGAGCAUCUUUAUUUAUUUAUAUUUCUGUGUUUACUGGGAAUGUUUUCUUUCUCUGAGUCAAUUAUACCUAAAGAAACCUUUUGUUUACUUCUGAGCUUCUGACAACAACCUCCUCUUUCUUUGCCGUCACCUGUGGCAUUAAAUACAGAGAUUUCAUCACACAACAAAAAUAUUAAAAAAAGACACCUCUCCAGGCUGGAAAUAAUGGGAUUUUUUUUCUGUGGGUAAAUCUGUGUAAAUCACAGUGUCAAAUGAAUGGACAAAGCUUUAAUGUGGCUAAUAAACACAGCCCUCUGUUUUGUGCAAGGGGAAUUUUUAUGAAAAUGAUCAAAUAAAGUAAUAAAAGAGAAGGGGCUUCCCCUCUGGGUUUAUGAGCUCUCUCGUUACACAUCAUGUAUGACACACUGACUGGCAGAAUAUAUGAUGGACUGUCAUACAUUGCAGAAUGACUUCAAUUAGGAUGAUAAGAUGACAAGUUCCCAUAGUUCAUAUACGGGUUGGCUGUGUUGUAUUUUUACAACAGGGUUCUUACUUUGACCUCUUUCUUUCUAAUGUUUGAUACAAAAUUUAAGGGGCUGGUUGAGGUCAGAGGAGACAAAAUGUGACUUAUGUUGGGGGUGGGAGAGGAGGGCCAUUUGUUUCUUUGUUUGUUCUGCUAUCCGUGGAAAAGAUCCUGUAAUUCAGUGUCUGACUCACUAUUAAAAAUAAUUAAUGCCAACAGUUCAGCCCACACACAUAACUCCAGAGUAACAAACCAACAAGUGCAGCCUGCACUCACGACCAACCGCUAAAAUCACACAACCUACAAGCAAAUAAGGAGGCACAACAGGCAACAGAACACAUAAGCCGACAUCCACAAGUGUCACCAUGAAUCGCUUUGCAGUCCUACCCAUGGGAUCACAGAGCCAGAAAUACCUUUGUCUCCACAAGAAAGAAGCUGACAUCAGGCCUAUGAAGACACACUGGAGGAAGCAGAACCACAGCAUUAUUCACAGGUAGUUCCAUGAUUGUCUAAAACCCCUGGUUUGAGACAGGUGGGAAACUCUGCUUGAAGAAGGAGCGGCAUCUGAGAUGGAUUUCCAGGUGGUGGUGUUGGUAUUUUGAAUCACAGGGGCUGAAGAAAAAUGCAAAAGUAAGCGUUGGCUACAACUUUACCAAUGGCUUUGAGAUUCUGGGAAAAUUCCCAUAUGAAAAAAAAAUAUAUGUUUAUAUCUAUAAGGUCUUCCUUUGGGGCUAUGUUACAGUUCUUUAAACGAGUACAUUCCAAUGGUUAUCAAGAUCAAACAUUGCUCCUGUAGGACAUACAUGUAACAGCAGUGGGUCAGGAUCAAUCUCAGAGUGCUUCUUCUGCGGCAGCUAUAAAACAGAUAGAAUGAAGAUGGAAACCUAUUCAUUGUCUACAGGGCAAAGCAGGCUCCAUGAUAGCACUGAUCCCUGAGACCAUCAUCUCCCUGACCCCAAGGAUACUCUGGUCAGACAGCGUUGCCUCGUCAACUCAAAUUUGACCCAGACAUUUUACAUUGUGGCGUUAUUUGAGACAGUCCACCAACCUGCAAAAGCAAAAUGUUUUCCAGCGGAAGAUCAAAUAUUUUCCAGGUGGUCUAUUCUGCAGAUUCAGCGUUAUUGCAACAGAUUUGCCUUCAAGUCAAAAAAUUGCUUGUGUACAAGUCUCAAAAGCAAAUCAGUAAGUGGAAAGAGCAGGAUAAUGGAGGCACUUAUCACUGAACAAAGACAGAGGUUUGGUUUGCAUACAUUCAGGUGGGAAUGACUCUGACUUUGAAGAAUGACACAUGUCAUGAAAUAGCUGUGCAGAGGAAUAUACCUCAAACAUGACGAAAAGGAAAAGCCUCGCCGGGUAGAAACCGAAUAGCAAAACUCGCUGCACUUCUCAUAAGCCACAAAUAUCAGUAGUUACCGGGAAGAAUUUCCUUGGCAUCUACUUCUUGGAAUAAAUUGAGGUCUAAAUCUAGACUAAUGUGCCCAGAAGCUCCUUGUGGAGGAGAAAAAGAGAAUAAGGGCAAAAAAUUCAGCUGAGUUUAAUCUGAACAGUGUAUCCAUCACCAAAAAUGAUACAAAUCAGCUAUUACUGGAUCAUGCAAAAGCAACUCCACUACCUGUGAUCCUUCCUUUGCUUUCUAAACCUCUUUUCAGCCCAGCCUAAUGAAUUGUCAGAACUGUCAGACAGCUCCAAGGAAUGACAAAUGUCUAUGAUUUGCUGCUGCUGCUGCUACUUUGCUGAAAACACCUGAUGUAUAUAGUCUUGAAAUCCUGUGUUUUGUGUUAGAGGCAAGGGUAAGCUGAAGGAAUUGGUGUACGUGUGGAGUUAUUUUCUUUCAUUUUGUGUAUAUGUAGCCUAGUGAGAAGAAUAUGGUAAAAGAAAGUUCAGAUUGAAUGUUAAAGCACUCCCAAACCAAGAAAUGACCAAAAGGAGGCAGAAGAUACAACCCCAGCCGUGGUCCAUUUUGAACAUUUUACAAUUCCAUAUUUAGCUACAUGAUUUCAUAUUAUGUAUAAUAACUGUCUGUGACCCAGCAUAAAACUUGCAAUGAUAUAUCCCCAUUCUUGUAUGAGGUUUUCUUCAUCAAAAUAAUAGAUAGUAAAACACAAAGCAUUCCAACUCCACAAAGAAUUUUUUGACAGACAAUAAGAUCAAUCAAAUAAUUAAUUUGACAAAUAUCAGAGUCUGAGUUAUACAGGCUCCAAACAUUUAUUAACUUGCAGCCAGAUUCUGUGAACAUUUGUCAUUGACUUAAAUGGGUCUAAGAUUUCACUUCUUGACGAGUGACAGGCCCUGAUGGGUAUUUAGUCAUUUCUGCUAUACCAGAUUGGCACUGUACUUAAUACAUUUGCUAAUUCUGUCAUAGAACUUACUCUCUAUAAUGUUCCCCUGCACCUUGCCUGAAGAAACUCUUGUGAAUUUGUCCUUUGAAUAACACACAGAGAAAAAAAAUAUAGUUUGGGGAAAGAGUGGGAUUCUUUUGUCUAAUUAUUCACUGACUGGAGAAGAGUCUUUGUUGCUUUGUUGCUAGUCAGAAGGUGUUUUCAAAAACAGAUCCCACAUAAUCAGGUCGGUUGUAUGAAAUUAUGAGAAAACUUCAUUAUGCGAGUACUUACUCGAUGAUAGCUGCAAGCAUGGUUCUAUCCUUGAAGGAAAGGCACACUUGAACUUGAUUCGAAGGGUUGCAAAUUUUAAGACUGCAAGAAAAGAAACGAAGUCCUGGAAAGCUGAACCAAGUGCAUCAAGAAACAAGGAAAUAAAUGGAUCAUUCCUCUUACUAUCACAAAGUGAGGUUACAGAGUGAUCUACAUAGGGAGUAAUCUACCUGGGGAGCUGAUCCAGAUUCAAAGGGCUGCUAAAGGUAGGACCUUUAAUGAGAACCAUGAAGACAUUUUGUCGUUUUUCUCAUUCUCACCUGGGGGAAAAAAUAAAUGUUGCUUGUAGAUCAAAGUACACCCAGCCACUGUUCUCUGAGUGUACACAGUGAUCUCCCUGAUUGGUGGAGCCAAGAGUGAUGCUUCAAAGUUGAGAACCGAAGCUGAGCUAAGUCUCAAUGUUUUAUCAAUUUCUUUAAGAUUUUGGGCCCUUUGCAAGCCAAGAGCACCAGCUAAACGUAUUUCACAAGGAAUCAGGCCUAGUCCAAACAGGAAGUACUUGCCUAAUCCUCGUGAGCUUGAUUAGAGUGGUGCUUGGGAGAAGCAACAACAAAAAAUUGCAAAUUAAUUCAUUUACAUGAAAGACAGCAGAAUGGAAGACCGCUGUGCUGUGUGUCUUGCCAUAAAACACCACCAGAAUGCAGUAGCACAGCUGCUGUGUUGGUCUGGCGUAUCUGCAGAUGGCAUUACAUUGUCAUCUCUCUCAGCAUCACACCAAUGAACACUUUCCUCCUCAAACCACUUGUUUGAGUCUCCUUGUUUUAUAGACAACGAACUGCCGCACAGAGAAAAUAGGUCAGGACCUCUGGGAUAUCAGUUUUCUUGCAUCUACCGAAAUCAAGAAAAAUAAAGGCUUUAAAUAAAGGUUAAAUACAAAAUAACCUGAAGAAUUUGAUCUAAAAGGCUUCGCCUUCAGGGGUCAGCAGCAAUAAACAAGGAAGUGGAAAAGAGUUCCCCUAUACAGUCAGUGAUUGCCUAAGUACUGGGAUAAUGCACCCUCUCUGUCAUGAAAAGAUGUAUUCUCAGGCCAAAGUGCCUGCUUCAUUGAAGAUACUGGGUUAUCUUCACCCUCCAUGUCAUGGGAAAAGCACAUCGAUGGGACUAACUGUGGAUCUUACAGGAUAUCUGCUCUGGUGGAUAGCAAAGGGAAUACGGUGCCCACCCAGCAAUGAGAGCUGAGCUCCUGCAAACAGCCACAACAACGGGCAGGAGGAAGCUCUGAGAUACACGGCAGGGCCGGUGGAUGCACUGCAAAUGAAGAUGUGUAUAUCCAGACAGGAGGAAUAAUGAGAAAUAAGUGCCAGAGAGGUUACUGGGUUCCUCUAUUAGAUUAACUCUGGUUUGACAAUAGUUGGGUUUGGGGAACUCCUCUGUGAUUUAGGAAUAAGCAUUCUUCUCUAAGUGGCCUAAACUCAUUGCUAUAUCAUCACUUGCUGUUGUCAAAUAAAUAAUCAUGCGAAAUCAGCUGCAGAGAAAAGUCUCCUGUAGAACCGAGUUCAUGCAUGACAUAUGAUAUAUCUCUUCAAAGGGACAGAUACAUCUUUCUUACAGCCAGCAUGCAGCUUCCUUCAGUGCACCUUCCCUUCCAUCCAAAUCACCUCAAAUAAAUGUGAGUUCUGCUGUGUUCACAGUAAUUCCUUCAUUUUUAAACACAUAAUGGAAAUGUAUAACUAGUCCUCAUAAAAAUUUAUAUCUCAAUUCGUCCCUUUAAUUUAUAACAGGCCCUCCAGGCAGUUAUUAUUCAAACAUUAAUAAAAUGCCUAUGGAUCACCAAAAGCAUCAAUUUUCACAUUCACCUCCCCUUCUAUUUGUACAUAUAUAAAGCCAGAUUAGACUUAAUGCCACUUCUGUGUCUAACAACAAUUACGCCUUUAAUAAGAUAGGAACAAAUGAUAUAUUAUCUUAAUCAUGUUAGGAAUUUGAGAUCUUUUUAUGAAACAAAGUUGAAUUUUUUAUGCCCUUUGUGACAAUUGUUACUUAACAGCCUAUAUGUUUGGAUAUUGCAGUUUAUGCAAAUGUUCAUGUUCUAUAAAUUUUAGAUUUAUCUCCAUUUAUCAUUCCUCAUGUUCUAAUACAGAGACAUUAUGGUUUAGCAUGUGACUCUGCACACAGUCUAAAAUAUGAUUAGGACACCUUUCAUUUAUUUAUACCACGGAGAAAAGGAUAGAGGGGGGAGAACAGCUAUUGCAAGGGCCAGAUCCUCAGCCCCCACAAAGCGGAGCUUUGCAGAGCUCCGUCUCACUGCGCUGACAUAAAUCCAUCUGAUAAUUUGGUCUUUCAUUUGCUAACAGUUAAAUUUUAAAGGAUUAAAGUUUAUGAGCGAACCCAGGCUUCAUUCUGUGCUCUAACAGCAGUUGCCAACUCACUGUAUAUCACAGUGUAGAAAUUCUUACUCAUGAGAGUAAUUAUUGCUAAUAUGAGCUCUCCCGCAGAGAGACAAGGAGAUCCUUUGCACGCGCAAUAGUUUUGGUCUGAAGCUCAUUUAAGAAGAACAAUGAUCAUUUAUGGCCAUAAAAAUACACAGGAAGGAAUUCCCUGUGAUUUCUCAUUUUUCUGUUGGGAAAUUUAAGGCCUCUUGAAUUAGGAGAGUGGGAAAUGUAGAUCCUAGGUCAUAGUUUGAUUCCACGUAAAUCACUACUGUUGUGUUGACAUCCAAGAAAGGACAUCAACGUACAUCACCUGAGAAGCUGGCCAUUUGCAUGGCCAACAAAAGAAAACAGCAACUAUAAAGAUACACUCAAAGCAUCUGAGCUCUAAAGUAGGUUCAAUUUGGCUUUGGACCUCUCUCACACAAACUACCAGCGGUGUUUCAGAUGGGUGCUAAGCUAAGGAGAAAUAGUGGCAAUGGGAACGUCCCCAUGGUUUCUUUACACAGGUUAACCAGCAGACAGGCAAGAAUUCAGUUCCACUGCCUUCAUCAUGGAAACUGCAUCUGUAGCAACUUUGCAACCAGGCAUUUUCUGCCCAGGAAAGCUGUCUCCUUCAGAGAGCUUGCGGCAUUGAUCUGGAAGAUGUUAUUAUGGUGUCUCCCACCCAUGCCCACAGGAUGCUCCCACUCAUUCAGGAAGGUGCUUUCUCUGUUUUCCAUGCGUUGUAGAAAAUGCUGAUGAAGACCCAGGGAGGGGCCAAUAUCAAAGUGAACCCCAUUAAGACCGGAGCUGCCUUCCUGCGUCUUUCAUUAUUAAUACUGAGCUCAAUUACUCUGAUUUCUUCUGUUGAUGAAUUAGCAGCACCAGAACCAAGUCCCUGGCUGAUAUCCAUUUGUCUUUGCUUAUAAGUGCUAAUGUGAUCCUGUUCCUUUAAAAUCAAACUCCUGCUUCAGUCACUUUACGUCUUUGCAACAAUAACUGUCUUUUCACUAAUUGGUUCUGUGUAAAUGAAACAAGCUGAAAAACACUGUGGCACCAAUAAAUAUUAAUAAGUUAUUGUUUGUUUUCUUUACCUUGCUUAUGAAUUCAUACAAAGACAGUGCUAAGACAUUAACUCCAGUCUAUUAAUUGCCACCUGAUAAUUGCCACCUGAUACUUUUCUCCUGGAUAAUUAGGUACCCAUUAGUUCUAAUCAAGUAGUUACUUAAUUAUUGCAGUAAUUAGUCUAAUGGACUAGCAAAUUGAAGCUUUAUCACUUUUGGAUACUUAAUGUUCCUGACAGAGUACUUCACAAGUGUCAGGGUUCCUGAUUCAGCAACCUGCCAUCCACGAACCCCCUGUUGCCACCACCAUCCCACCCACGCUGCUCCCCAGCCACUUGCUGAAACCACUCAUGGUUGAAGCCAGAGGCAACGUACGUUGGAGUCCUUCUUCCUUCUCGUUUCCCUUCCCACUCCAUCUAUGCCUCCCCUCUGGUGCUCUUACUGCUCAUUCCACGCCAAAAGAACUUUGUUGGGAAAUUAAAUAGCAUCUUGGCAUGAAGAUCACAUGCAUUAGACUGUACGGCAGCACGCUUCAAGGGAAGGAGCUAAUGUUGGCAGGUGUGGGAAGAAAAAAGCAACUGUGAGGGGAGAAAUAAUAAAGUGCGUUUAUGAGUACUCAGAUGCAGCCAGGCCUGGGGAGAAAUAGGGAGAGGGGCAAAGCCGACUGGUGGUAAAUGAAGGCAUGGCUCCAAGGACUGAGGCUGGUUAUAGGUCUCUCUUUCAUCUUUGAAUCAGAGACAGAAAUCUAACAGAUUCUUACAGAAAUAAAAACAAAAUGGAAACUAUUUUCUGCCCAUGGACUCUGUAGCACAGACUUGGUGGUAAAGUGAUCACUAGCAUUUCUCUGAUCCAUGUUUUUAUGAUUAAUUUCAUACUUAAACCUGACGGGCUGUCAGUCCUACAUGUAAUACUUCCACGAUAUUCAUUUCAGAAAGGGCAUGUGAAAUGCCAUCCUCACACCUCUGUCCAUGUACCCGUCCAUAUGUUGUCUUUGUGGAUUGUGCUUGCUUUUGGAUCUCAGUUUGAGACAGGCAUAGACAUCUAGGAGCAGCACAGCAUUAAAUGUGGAUUUCUGUCUUCCAUUGAUCAUCUGAUCCAGAUUCUCUCAAGACUUUUCAUGUCAGAUUUGUAUCAGAAUUGAUCAUCAAGCCCCUUGGCAAGUGUCAUCUGCCCCAGGCGCUGCAAUGUGUAUCGUAUAAAAGCUCACUGUACUGGGAAGGGAAGAAAGGGGGGGGGGGAACAGAAUUGAUCCUGCACAGAAAUAAAGAGUUUAACUCCAUUCAAUAACGCUUGACAACUUGCUAAUGGUUAAACUACUUCACAUAUGUGGUAGGAUUAUGUAUUCUGAAAUAGAUGUAUUUCUCUUUCUUGAUCAGAUAUCUCAUAUUUCCACUACUGCUAGGUCUGUAGCACAAUCUAGGGUUUUGUACAGAGAAGAGCUUCAGACUGUGCCUUGACUGAGUCUUGCUGGAGGGGCUGGGUUUCCAACCAGCCUCAGUUGGCUUUUUAUGGAUAGGAGGGAACAGUGAGAAGUUAAGAUUAUUACUCCUCUGAGUUUUAUAGAAUCAUAGAAGCAUUUGAGUUGGAAGGGACCCUUAGAGGUCAUCUAGUCAAACUUCCCUGCAGUGAACAGGGACAUCUGCAGCUCAGCCAGGUUGCUCAGAGAGCAGCCCAGCCUGACCUUCAAUAUCUGCAAGGAUGGGGCACUGAACAAGGCAAAGUUUUGCAUUGGAUCAGAGUUCUAUCAUGCUUCAAAACUGCUGUAAUCUCAAUUAUCACACAGAGUCCCCUAGUCAGCCAUGCAAGGCAUAUUCAUAAACCAAAAUAUACCCCAUACCCCAGUAUCCUCACAAACAUCAGAAUUUUAUUUAUCUAGAUUUUUCCUCAACACCUUCACGUUAUCAGAACUGAAAAGCCAACAGUUUUCAGGGGAAACAUAAAUAAAUUCUCCCAAUUCUUCUUACUGUAUGAAAAAUAGAGUCCUUUUCCAGUUACGCUAUACUCUUACCCAAAACACAACAGGCUAUGACAGAGGUCACCAGCUCAUGAGUUUUCUGCCAUAGCCCCACGUGCAUCCAUCACAAUUGGCUGCAAAUGCUCAUUUACUCUGAAGUUACUCUUUAGGUAACAGUCAAUAAAACCCUAUGCCACUAUUGAAAAAUCACACCACAGAUCUGCUUAAACACCUGCGUGAGGCCACUGAGCAAUAACAAUCCCAUGCACUCAAAGCAAAAUUAGGUAAAGCAUACUUGGCCCAUUAAGAAAACAUAUUGCUUGAAAUUACAGUGCCUCAGGAUGCUUAGAUUUUGCUCCAUAGGAUAGAACUACCGCCCUACCCAACACAGGACCUGUACUGACAUGAGUUCAAGUGGCUCAAACUGCUGUCUCUGUUGAAGGCUCCCGGCAGCAGAAAUUUACCACUGAGUGCCUCAUCUGACUUCCCAGCAUUGCUCUGACUUCUCUGUCCUGCUCAGAGUAAAUUUGGUCCAAAUUUGGACCAAAAAAGGGUGUGAUGGCAGAAGGGCAGCAGGCUGGGGGUCCAUCCAGGGGUCUCCCUCAUGCUGUGCCCCUGCUGGGGCUGAACAGAGACCAUCUGUCUCCAGCGCUAUCGAUCCAACACAAGCACUAAAUUCAUUUUAAGGAUGCUGAGAGAGCGAGAAAACUGUAUGUGACAGAUGUUAGUCACGUUGCUUAAUGUACUACUCGAAGGUGUUCAGAUGCUCUGGUGAUGAGGGUGCUAAUAAAACCAAUGCAGAAUAGAAUGAAACAGGCUCAGGGAGGAUUUUUAGAUUUAUAAAGCUAAAAAGGGUUUUUAGCUUGAGGGGGGAUUAAAUGUCAUACUGUCCACAUCAUCAAUUUUCCCUCUGGAUUUGACUUUGAAUCACUUGUGCAGUUCUUCAGCAGUGACACGGCAACAGGCAAAUUAGAAGACAAACUGAGAAUACCUUUUAUGUUGGAAAUACCAGGAGAAACAGUCCAAUGAUUAUUGAGAGAGGGAGAUGCAGAACUCAUUAAGGCAAGAUGGCUUGGAAAGAUAAUGAUGGUGUUGCAUGCAAAGGAAAAGUAGGGAAAAAAAAGAAGCAUAAAGCAGCAAAUUCCUUAGCACCCUUUCCCUGUUUCUCUCUAUGCACUUUCUAGCACUUCAUUUCACAAGCUUUCACAGGCAAUCAAUUUUAGCUUGUAUCAAUUUGGCAGUUUAAGAUCUCCAUAAUAGUUAGGACCACUCCUGUUCAAUGGGUUGCACAGCUUUUGAGAAAGCCUGAGUGCUGUUCUAGGGAGGGGUGUGAGGACAAAGGGAAGGAAGAAUCAGGGAGGCAAGAUGCUCCCAGUUCGUCUGUCCAUAUCUAAGAUCCUUUUAUGGGGUGUGGCAUAUUAUCGGUAAGAUCUCAGUCUUCAUCUCUUUGAGGAGCUCCUUGAGCACUGCUUUCAUGCUUUGUCAUCGUCUUGCUUUUCUGCACAUGGAACAAAUGCCAGCCCUGAGGAUACAGGAGACAAGAGAGACCAAAGAUAAUUGUUCGGUCUUAUGCCACUGAAUAAAGAAGGGUCUAUGGGAAAGUUGUAGCAAUGUAGCUACAGGGCAUCAUACAGAACACCCCAUGAGCACUUCUGGUAAGCAUUAAGUGUAAGAUACCUCGCAGAAAGGCAAUAGAAAUAAGCCUUAAGGGAGAUGCUCAGAAGUGGGGGGUACGGACUCGUGGGCAGUCUGAUUCUUGCUUCCAUCCCCUGACUGUCACAAGCAGCUACAAUGUGAUGACGAGAAGAGCUUGCUGCCCAAGAAGUUCAGAAGAGCCCUCAUGACCUCAGGGUUAAAACUGAGAGGGAAGGAAGGAAGACCAAUCAUUCUGAAGUCUGGCCAUGAGGAUGGCUGAAGUCCCAGGCUGAGGGAUCUUUGCUUUUUGGUGUAAUUUUGGUUGUUUUUUUUUUUUUUUUUUAAGGUUCUUCUCAGCUGCCUGUCAGACAGGGCCAUGAUGAAACUCAACAUCUUGCAGAGACAUAAAAUGGAAAAUAGGCAACUCAUCAGAAGAGUAGCAGCUGUUUUACACCAUCACAAAACAAAAUC